rnacentral:rRNA from 1 species
UACGUAGGGUGCAAGCGUUAAUCGGAAUUACUGGGCGUAAAGCGUGCGCAGGCGGUUUUGUAAGUCUGUCGUGAAAUCCCCGGGCUCAACCUGGGAAUUGCGAUGGAGACUGCAAGGCUAGAAUCUGGCAGAGGGGGGUAGAAUUCCACGUGUAGCAGUGAAAUGCGUGAGAGAUGUGGAGGAACGACCGAUGGCGAAGGGCAGCCCCCUGGGUCAAGAUUGACGCUCAU